rfam:Ipomoea nil DNA, scaffold: scaffold1294, cultivar: Tokyo-kokei standard.
GUCUGGGUGGUGUAGUUUGUUAUCACGCUAGUCUCACACACUAGAGGUCCCCAGUUCAAACCUGGGCUCAAACA